UGAGCAAAUAUGUUGUUCCAUUAUUUUUUUCCAAUUAGGGUUCUUUUCAUUGUCUUGUUAUGUUUCAGCACUCCAUGCCUAGAAGAAUCAAAUGGGUGUCUCACUUCCUCUCUUAGAUGUACUGAGACAAAAAUAUGCCCUUUGUCAUUCGUGAACUGCAAUUGGAACAUUUGAGAUGCAAAACAUCUCAUCGGGAGAAGAUUUAAUGAUGCCUCUGUGCAAAGUGACAUUAAGCUAUGACCCUUCAAGGUCAUUGCUAGUCCUGGUGACAAGCCAAUUAUUGUUGUGAACAACAAGGGUGAAGAGAAGCAGUUCGCUGUUGAGGAGGAUUUGAAUGCCUCUGUCUAGAGUGACAUCAAACAGUUCGUUUCAUUGCAUUGAGAGUCUAAUU